rnacentral:misc_RNA from 1 species
CAUAUUGUAUAAACUACUUGUGGUAUAUAUAAAUUCUGGCUUCUUAUUGUUGUUUCUUAUGCUUAAUCACAGAGCUUUAUAUGCUUGGUGCUGAUCUGGAUAUUCAGUAGACAGUUCAUUUCUACUGCUCUAUUGGAAAAUGUGUUGUUUUGUAUUGUACAUUAACUUUUAUUUCCAGUUUUUACAUUUGGAUAACAUUUAUACCCAUAAAACCUCUGUUAUGCAUACUGUAUCUCUGACAUGCUUGUUUGUGUGCGUGUGUUUGAGAGAGAGAGAGAG